UACGGAGGGUGCAAGCGUUAUCCGGAUUCACUGGGUUUAAAGGGUGCGUAGGCGGGCAGGUAAGUCCGUGGUGAAAUCUCUGAGCUUAACUCAGAAACUGCCAUGGAUACUAUUUGUCUUGAAUAUUGUGGAGGUAAGCGGAAUAUGUCACGUAGCGGUGAAAUGCUUAGAUAUGACAUAGAACACCAAUUGCGAAGGCAGCUUACUACACAGUUAUUGACGCUGAGGCACGAAAGCGUGGGGAUCAAACAGG
rnacentral:rRNA from 1 species